AGAGGAAGCCGGUGCGAAUCCGGCGCGGUCCCGCCACUGUCACCGGGGUGCGAACCCCGGGAGCCAGGAACUC
rnacentral:ncRNA from 1 species